AAAUUUCAAUGGCUAUUAUGACGAGUUUGGAGUUUAACGGUGUAGAAGAAUCUAAAUUUCUUCAAAUUUUGAUAGAAAAUUCUUUAAACUAUAUAGAUUAAGGUUAACAUUCUUGAUCUUGAAUUUAAAAGUCCUAUGCUUAAAUUUUAAAGAGUAUUCAAUUCCUACCGUCCAUUUUGACAUAAUUUAUUUACUAAGUAAACGAUAUCGAAAAAAACUAAAAUUUUAUUCCUAAGAACUUCAUAUACCCUAGAUCAUAUUUAACGGUGUCGAUCGUUGAUUUGAAUGCCCUAAGAUCGAAAACAACACUAUAGUACGGGAGCUCCCGUACUAUAGAUAGUAUAGUAACCUAAUUCUAUAUAUAUAUAUAUAUAUAUAACUAGGCUGUCAUACUAUUAAUAAUGCUAAGUCAUUGGUGCUAUUAGGUUUUCAAUUCUUGGAUGAAGAGAUGUGCGGUUAGGAUUAUAGUGGUCCCCUAGUGCUGAGUGGGUGAUUAGUUGAAUAGUAUGAUCUAACAUAUGAAAAUGAUUAAAAUGAUAGAUCUAACGGUAUAAAACUUUAUAGUACCAAACAUUUUGUACUAUUUAUAGCAUGAUAGCCGGACUCAUAUAUAUAGAUUUUCCUUUUUUUUGAAUUGUGCUAGAUCUAUGACCCACUUUGCGUCGUAAUUAAUCCUACAACUAUUCUAAUCUAAUACCAAUUUUUUCUUCACUUAUCUUAUCACGUUUUCUUUUAUUUACUAAAACCAAAAGAGGUUACUAAACCUUCUGUUACCAUAUAUAUUACAUACCAUAUAUAUAUUAUAUAUGUUACCAUAUAUAAUAUAUAUAUAUUACCAUUUAUGUUAUAUAUAUUACUAUGUAUAUUACUUUCUUAUUAGGAUAGUAUUAUUUAUUUCU
rnacentral:lncRNA from 1 species